rnacentral:rRNA from 1 species
AACGAACGCUGGCGGCAGGCCUAACACAUGCAAGUCGAGCGAGGACUUCGGUUCUAGCGGCGGACGGGUGAGUAACGCGUGGGAAUGUGCCCUUCUCUACGGAAUAGCCCUGGGAAACUGGGAGUAAUACCGUAUACGCCCUAUUGGGGAAAGAUUUAUCGGAGAAGGAUCAGCCCGCGUUGGAUUAGGUAGUUGGUGGGGUAAUGGCCUACCAAGCCGACGAUCCAUAGCUGGUUUGAGAGGAUGAUCAGCCACACUGGGACUGAGACACGGCCCAGACUCCUACGGGAGGGAGGAGUGGGGAAUCUUAGAAAAUGGGGGCAACCCUGAUCUAGCCAUGCCGCGUGAGUGAUGAAGGCCUUAGGGUUGUAAAGCUCUUUCAGCUGGGAAGAUAAUGACGGUACCAGCAGAAGAAGCCCCGGCUAACUCCGUG